AUUGAACGCUGGCGGCAGGCUUAACACAUGCACGUCGAACGAGUGGCGGACGGGUGAGUCAUGCUUGGGAAUCUAGCUUAUGGAGGGGGAUAACUACGGGAAACUGUAGCUAAUAACGCGUAGCAUAGAAUGAGCAAAAGUGGGAUAAGGUAGUUGGUGAGGUAAAGGCUCACCAAGCCGACGAUCUCGAGAUGGUCUGAGAGGAUGACCGGACAAACUGGGACUGAGGAACUGGACAGACUCCUACGGGAGGCAGCAGGGGGGAAUAUUGCGCAAUGGGGCAACCUGACGCAGCCAUGCCGCGUGCAUGAAGAAGGCCAUAGGGUUGUAAAGUUCUUUCGGUAGCGAGGCGUUAACUACAGAAGAGGCACCGGCUAACUCCGUGCCAGCAGCCGCGGUAAUAC
rnacentral:rRNA from 1 species